rnacentral:rRNA from 1 species
AGAACGAACGCUGGCGGCAUGCCUAACACAUGCAAGUCGAACGCGUGUAGCGAUACACGAGUGGCGGACGGGUGAGUAACGCGUGGGAACCUGCCCUGGAGUGUGGGAUAACCGAGGGAAACUUCGGCUAAUACCGCAUACGACCUGAGGGUGAAAGAUUUAUCGCUCUAGGAGGGGCCCGCGUCGGAUUAGCUAGUUGGUGGGGUAAAGGCCUACCAAGGCAGUGAUCCGUAGCUGGUCUGAGAGGAUGAUCAGCCACACUGGGACUGAGACACGGCCCAGACUCCUACGGGAGGCAGCAGUGGGGAAUAUUGGACAAUGGGGGGCAACCCUGAUCCAGCAAUGCCGCGUGAGUGAUGAAGGCCUUAGGGUUGUAAAGCUCUUUCGCGCGCGACGAUGAUGACGGUAGCGCGAGAAGAACGCCCCGGCUAACUUCGUGCCAGCAGCCGC